GACGAACGCUGGCGGCGUGCCUAAUACAUGCAAGUAGAACGCACAGUUUAUACCGUAGCUUGCUACACCAUAGACUGUGAGUUGCGAACGGGUGAGUAACGCGUAGGUAACCUGCCUGGUAGCGGGGGAUAACUAUUGGAAACGAUAGCUAAUACCGCAUAAUAUUGAUUAUUGCAUGAUAAUUGAUUGAAAGAUGCUAUUGCAUCACUACCAGCUGGACCUGCGUUGUAUUAGCUAGUAGGUGAGGUAACGGCUCACCUAGGCGACGAGACAUAGCCGACCUGAGAGGGUGAGCGGCCACACUGGGACUGAGACACGGCCCAGACUCCUACGGGAGGCAGCAGUAGGGAAUCUUCGGCAAUGGACGAAAGUCUGACCGAGCAACGCCGCGUGAGUGAAGAAGGGUGUCGGAUCGGAAAGCUCUGUUGUAAGAGAGGAAAGGGUGUGAGAGUGGAAAGUUCACACUGUGACGGUAUCUUAACAGAAAGGGACGGCUAACUACGUG
rnacentral:rRNA from 1 species